ACUGAGGGCAUGUUGGAGCGGGCGGGGGAGCAGUGGGCGGGCGGGCAGGGGGCACUGCGCGCCCGCAGCGUAAACAGCAAGAGGGACCGGCGGUGCCCAGGCUUCUCUGUCCGCUGCGCUCCUGUCCCCCGCGGCUCCCGGGCUCCCCGUCCACCGGGCGGCGGCACAGGCGCCCCUGCGGGAAGGGGCUCGCGGCGCCCGCCCCCUCCCGGAGUGAGCCCGGCGCCUGCCACGCCGGCCCCCGGGACUUGUGGACGCGGUUCCUAGGGCCCCGGCCGGGGGGCAGGGAUUAUGUCUCCCGGGGGCCGGGGCGCAGGGACAUGACUCCUGGGAGCGGGGGCCUCCAGGACUCUGGCUCCUCGGGGGCCCGGGCCCAGGGCGCACGCGCACCCCCGCCCUGGCCGCCGUCGCCCUGCGCGUUCCGAGACGGGGCGGGGCCGGUGGUCACGCAGGCGCAGCCCCUGGCCAGUGAGGCGUGUCACGGGUCGCUCCCCCGGGGUCAGGGUCACCAAAACUCCAGCAGGCCUUUCCCCAGGGCCACUGGGGGCCUGUUACCGGCAGUCGCCGCCCUGCCUUGACUGCCUGGGUGAAUCAGGUGCUAAUCGAAGCCUUGGUCUUGCAGGCUCCCCUGCCUGGGUUUUCUGAGUGCUACCGAUUUAGGCCUGGUGGGGGGAUUCCUACGGUCCUGCCGCACCCACGAAGAGCGAGAAGGCUCACCCGGUGGAGAAAGGUGGGCUCGGUGACUCAUCUCUGGGAUGACCUAACCUCCCGACCCUGGCGGAGCAGAUGUCCGGAUGUCAGACGUCAUACCGUGACUUUGGACGGCCAGUGUGUCCCCUUCAGAUUGUAAACUGGCUCUAGUAGUUGCAUGGGUAUGUUGAUACAAUUGCUUCCGGAAAGCCCCUUUCCUUGCUAAGCAACACGGUAAUGUCUGCGCUGUGGUUCUGCCUGGAGUGGAAUACUUUCUAAGCUGUAGCAGAAUUGUAACUGUCCAGAAAGAGAGUGGGUAUCCAGUUGACUGCUUCGGUCUAUGCCGAGCAGUCUGACCAUGAGGAUGGCCCCUUCAGUGAUCUCAGCGUUUGACAGGCCACUAAUUUCCAGCCCUGCAAGCAGUCUCCUGAAUAUGAACUUGGUUUCCUUCUUCCACUUAAGAGGUUUGGGGACCUCAGAUCUCAGAGCACUAACAACUGGAGAGUGUGGCGUCAGGGGAAAACAGCAGGAGAAAUGAAUACCCAGGAGACCACCUGCCUCCGCCCAGACAAGACAAAUUCACUCGGAGCUGCAUAUCGCUGUUCAAAGCCUGGCACCUUCCCAGUGCUAGGUGGCCUGCACUGUUUACCAUCUCUGUCAUACCUGUGUGUCCUUUCUAUGCAGGGCUUCAACUCCAGGUCUGCAUAGACAGCCACUAGCACAGGAGCAACUGCUGCAAGGAGGAUCAAGCCACUGUAGCACGAGGUGAAUUCAGUUCACAGGAAGUUAGGGUGUGUUUCUCUUUCACCUCUUAUACAUCCAGUAAUCCCUGAGAGAGGUCAGGAAAGUCUGAGGCAAUGCUCGCCCUGAUUCACCAACACACAACUUGCAUACGGUACAGACUAGAGUGAUGUCUCAAUCUAAAAACAUUUAUAUUUGGCUUUAUAAUGGCAUCAGUUUCUCCCCCAUUCUGCUCCAAAAUACAAGGAAGUCCUUACUUUACCUCUCUUGUAAUUAAAGGGUCCAUGAUGGUGCUUUUACCCUAUCAAAGGCACAGUUUGUCUUCAAGGUGAUGUGAGAUCUCUAUCUCUAAACAUAGAAAACUUUGUGACUUUUAAAUAUCAGUCUCCUCUCCUGCUUGUCAAGGUUUCGUAAGGCAGCCCAAGGGCAAGUGCAGUGGUUGGUUAGAGAGAUAGAUAAUUGAUAUAUAAGACAGUAUGGUAUGUGGACAUCUUUCCUCACUGCAGUGCUUCUAAAAAUGUGUAUAAUUUUUUUAAGUAUAGUCAUUUACAAUAUUGUGUUGGUUUCAUGUGUAUAGCUAAGUGAUUCAGUUAUAUAUAUUACACAUUUUCAGAUUAUUUUCCAUUAUAGGUUAUUGCAAGAUAUUGAAUAUAAUAAAAAAAUGUACAAUUUAAGGCAAACUUUUGCUUUUAAAAUCUCACUAUUUUCAUUGCAGUCAUAACAACCAAGCAAAUGGGGCAGGAAGCUCUCUGCUUUGUGGUUAUUUUAUUCAAGCCAUGUAUGAAGUUUCUUUUUGGUAUAAAGGUAUGUGUGUGUUUUUUUCCCUUGAGUAAUAGUAACUCUAGGACUUCAGAGUCAGUAUAAGUAUUGACUCUGAUCUCCAGAAUUACAUAUCUGGCUAUGACAGGGCUGCAGAGGUAAAAUGUCUGCUGUGUGGUAGAGGCAGAACUACCUUGAAACAGACCGUGUUCCCUUCUGGUUCUUAAGUGUAAAGUUUCACUGAGUCAAGAUAAUAACCCCUUAGCCCUCUUUACCUAUUUCCUAAAAAAAUAUAUGGUUUUAGUUUGUAUCAGUCACUUUCUGUUCUUUUUAAUUUUAUGAAAUUUCUUAUUUCUAAAAUGUUUAGUUAUCACAUAAAAAAGAGGGGACAGGGCUUCCCUGGUGGCGCAGUGGUUGAGAGUCCGCCUGCCGAUGCAGGGGACACGAGUUCGUGCCCCGGUCCGGGAAGAUCCCACAUGCCGCGGAGCGGCUGGGCCCGUGAGCCAUGGCAGCUGAGCCUGCGCGUCCGGAGCCUGUGCUCCGCAACGGGAGAGGCCACAACAGUGAGAGGCCCGCGUACCGCAAAAAAAAAAAAAAAAAAAAAAAAAAAGAGGGGACAGUUUGGUCCCUUCACUCAGUAUAAAGCAUCUGUCAUGAGUGUUACUAUCUUGUCCCAGUUUGCCCAGGAUUUCCCUCAUUUUACAACUGGAAGUCCUGUGUCCCAGGAAGCCCUUUAAUCCUUGGCAAUCCAGGACAGCUGGUUACCCUAGAUCUAUGAUGUAUCUUGGGGAAAUACACAUUAGCUUUAAAUAAGAAAAAAUACUUAAUUGUUAUUUAAGCACCUUCCUCUUUAUUUACAAAUAGUUCCAGGUGUGAAAUGUUGAAAAGGGGCAGCUGUCUCCCAUUACUGGACAGAGCCAGGCUGUCUUCAGCUGCUUCUAUGUGGCGGGAACUGGUCUCUCCUCAACAGUUAUAGCAGCUGCUACUUUCCAGAAGGGAAGUAUUGGCUAAAGAAAAGUCAAUGUCAGUAUUUCUCCCUGAAGAAAAAUGCAUAUUGAUCUUCCCCCAAACAAAUCAAUAGUUGUGUUAGGUUCAAUUUGAAUAUUUUCCCUAGAAACUAUCUCAGAGUAACCAUGAGAGCCUAAUAGAUUUUCCUUAUAGUAUUAAAUUGACGAGAUCACAAUGCUUGAAAGAGUACUUAUUUCAAGGAAAAUGGACAGUUUCCUAAAAGCGGUUAGAUUUUCAUAAAGUGGAGGGUUUGGGUACAUAAGUGCUUUAAUUGAGCAUCUUCUUUCUCCUCUUAAAACCCCCUCACUGCCUACUGUCCCUCAGCCUAGUUACUGCUCCCCAGGUAACAUGGCCUUAGAUAUCCUUUUGCAACCCCAUUUCCAAGCAUUAAGGUGCCAUUUUUAUUCAUUCGACCAACAUUUAUUGAAAACCUACUAGGUUCUAGGCAUUGUGCCAGAAGCUUAGGAUACAGAAAUAAAAACAAAACUGCCCCACACUUAACUCACAUUUAUUUAUAAGUUCAUUGGAAAUAGGAACUUACAUAUAAAUAAUUUCCAUGUAAUGUGGUAUACUCUGAGUUUGUAAAGCUUGCUUUUUGGAACUUAGAGGAGGGCACUCAGAACUGCCUUAGCUGGCUCUUCUUUUCUAUAAAAGUAAGCAUCCUAUCUUAACAAGGAAGAGGCGGUUAGGACACAGACACACACAGAGGGAAGACCUUAUGAGGACACAGGGAGAAGACGGCUGCCUGCACACCAAGGAGAGAGGCCUCAGGAGAAACCAACCCUGCUGACACCUUGGUCUUGGACUUCCAGCUUCCAGUACUGUGAGACAAUAAUGUUCUGCUGUUAAAAGAAAUAACAGAUGUUGUCUGUCCAGUCUGUGGUACUUUGUUAUGGCAGCAGUUCUAGCAAACUAAUACAGAGAAGGAAGCAGCCACUGCCAGAACCAUGACUUUGUCAGGGAGGCCAUGGGGAAGAGAUACCCUAGCCUCUCUCUCCAACUGCUCUCUGAUCUCACUUAAAAAAUGAACCUACCUGGAGGCCGGCAAAGGAGCCCAAGUGAUUUGUUCCAUAUGUACACUCUCCCAGGGCACUUGCAGGACAGAGAAUGGUAAGAAUGGAUUCGGGGGGACAAAUAGAAAAUGAUCAGCAAAGAUAUCUCAUCAAGUUUUGAAAAAUCAAGAAGGGCUCCAUGGAGGAGGUGGCUCUUGAACUGCGUGUGGAAUAAUAAAUGAGUUAAUAUGAAUA